AGUGAACGCUGGCGGUAGGCCUAACACAUGCAAGUCGAACGGCAGCACAGAGGAGCUUGCUACUUGGGUGGCGAGUGGCGGACGGGUGAGGAAUACAUCGGAAUCUACUCUGUCGUGGGGGAUAACGUAGGGAAACUUACGCUAAUACCGCAUACGACCUACGGGUGAAAGCAGGGGAUCUUCGGACCUUGCGCGAUUGAAUGAGCCGAUGUCGGAUUAGCUAGUUGGCGGGGUAAAGGCCCACCAAGGCGACGAUCUGUAGCUGGUCUGAGAGGAUGAUCAGCCGCAAUUGAAAUGAGACAGGGUCCAGACUCCUACGGGAGGCAGCAGUGGGGAAUAUUGGACAAUGGGCGCAAGCCUGAUCCAGCCAUACCUCGUGGGUGAAGAAGGCCUUCGGGUUGUAAAGCCCUUUUGUUGGGAAAGAAAUCCAUCUGGUUAAUACCCGGGUGGGAUGACGGUACCCAAAGAAUAAGCACCGGCUAACUUCGUGCCAGCCGCCGCGGUAA
rnacentral:rRNA from 1 species